CCUACGGGAGGCAGCAGUAGGGAAUAUUGCUCAAUGGGCGAAACCCUGAAGCAGCAACGCCGCGUGGAGGAUGAAGGUUUUCGGAUUGUAAACUCCUUUUGUUAGAGAAGAUAAUGACGGUAUCUAACGAAUAAGCACCGGCUAACUCCGUGCCAGCAGCCCCGGUAAUACGCAGGGUGCAAGCGUUACUCGGCAUCACUGAGCGUAAAGAGCGCGUAGGCGGGAUAGCAAGUCAGAUGUGAAAUCCUAUGGCUUAACCAUAGAACUGCAUUUGAAACUGUUAUUCUAGAGUAUGGGAGAGGUAGGUGGAAUUCGUGGUGUAGCGGUAAAAUGCGUAGAGAUCAAGAGGAAUACUCAUUGCGAAGGCGACCUGCUAGAACAUAACUGACGCUGAGGCGCGAAAGCGUGGGGAGCAAACAGGAUUAGAUACCCUAGUAGUC
rnacentral:rRNA from 1 species